CACGGCUUCUGAGGGUGAGAGAAUUGGAAGGUGAGGAGGGUGAGGCUGGUGGAAUCAGGGAGGUGAGAAGGGGUGAGGCUGGGGGGAAUCAGGUGAGAAGGGGUGAGGCUGGGGGAAUUAGGGAGGUGUGUUGCCCUGCAGCUCCCCAGCAGAUGGGCUGUGUGCAGGAAGUGGGUUUCUGGGGGUCCCUGGGGCCUUCUGGCUGGGUGGGGCAGUGGGGAGGGGACGGC